UCUUCUGUUUGCGUUGGAAGCCGUAGAGGCAGCGGGGUCAGUGGUAGGGUUGGUUGCCACUGUGCUGAUGGCUGCAAGUGAUGAGGUUGGAGCUCUGGCUGAAGGCUUUGCCACACACCUGGCACACAUUGGGCUUCUCACCUGGCAUAGGAAAGCAGAGUUGCAGCAAUGGAUUGUGCUUCAACUGAUGUCCCUUCACAUACCAAUAGUCAAAGCGUCUGCAAAAAAAAACAAUGUGUUGCCAAAUGUCCUACGGAAUCAGGCCAAAACAUAUCAGGCCAAAACGUAUCAGGCCAAAACGUAUCAGGCCAAAACGUAUCAGGCAAUGUGAGCGGAAACAUUUCCAUUGGCAACCAGGGCAAUACCACCGGUCAUACUGCUUAACAAACAACUCCCAGAAAAGCUGUCGCACCCAGCAUCACCAUAGCCAACAUAACAGGUGGCAAAGUGGGUCUCUACUACAAGGCAGAGAAGAUGGCUCUCUGUGACCUCAUCGAGUGGAGUCAACUCAGGAAGGGCCACUCCAUUCUCAUCCUGGAAAACACCUUUAAGAAGACCCCUCUUCCUCCUCUAUGUCACUGGCUUCCAAGUAGAAAGUGACAAUACACACAGAUUAAACUACAUACACAUUAUUGAUAAAAAAUAAAGACAGAAUAUAUCCCAGAUAGGUGAAAAAGUGCUACAAGAUAUACUUUGAUUGUAUGGUUGAAUUCAGCAAUGUAAUCAAUGUAGGUUUUUGAUAAAUAAAUGUUACCAAACUGAGAA